UAAUCAAACAGUUUGAUCCUGGCUCAGGAUGAACGCUGGCGGCGUGCCUAAUACAUGCAAGUCGAGCGAACAGACGAGGAGCUUGCUCCUCUGACGUUAGCGGCGGACGGGUGAGUAACACGUGGAUAACCUACCUAUAAGACUGGGAUAACUUCGGGAAACCGGAGCUAAUACCGGAUAAUAUAUUGAACCGCAUGGUUCAAUAGUGAAAGACGGUUUUGCUGUCACUUAUAGAUGGAUCCGCGCCGCAUUAGCUAGUUGGUAAGGUAACGGCUUACCAAGGCAACGAUGCGUAGCCGACCUGAGAGGGUGAUCGGCCACACUGGAACUGAGACACGGUCCAGACUCCUACGGGAGGCAGCAGUAGGGAAUCUUCCGCAAUGGGCGAAA
rnacentral:rRNA from 1 species